AUAUAUAUUUCAACGUACAAACUAUAUUGUACCUUAAUAACCUCUAAACGCAAUGGGUACAAGGAUAAUAUUUACACAGCCUAGAACCACUUGACACGGUCCAGGAUUACGCGAUAUACCAUUUUUCAAAGAGGUCCAAAGAUUUGACAAUCAGUCUAACUUAACCUCUUUGUUCUAAAUUGAACGCGAUAAUACGCAAUCAUUUAACGGUGUGACAAGUAUUUUUCACGUUCCUAUCAACUAGUUAUCAACAUUUAUACAUAAUACAACCAGGUUCCUCGCACGCACGCACUCUCAGCCCCACUCGUAGGAUUGCGUAACGUUUUCUCUUUUUUUUUCGUUCGAUUCUCUCGUAACAUAACCCCAUUUUAGCGGAUGGUCGGUCGGUUAAUUCGUGUAUUAUGUAAAUAUCAAACAAAUUAUCGCACAAAUCUAUCAUGGUAUAUACUCAUCAAUGAAAAAUACUUUCUUUACAAUGAAACAUUUUUGUGGAAAAAACUCUCAAUCGCUCUCUUUCUCUCACUCAGUUAUAUAGCUCGGUAAAAAUACCCUGAAGAUGUACAUAUCAUUAAAUAGACGAUUACAUAAUAAAUGAAUGAACAGUCAAGUGAGAAAAAUAUGAUUUCGAUUUGUACUUGGAAAUGAUACGAAGACAUUUCUCAAAUUUGAUAAAAAUUUCCUGACGCUGCACAUUCCUACUGUGAUCGGGGUGCACCGCUGUGUUUCUAGAUCUUUUACGUA